rnacentral:rRNA from 1 species
UGAUGACGAGGGAAAUUAAGUACCGAAGUCUUCGAUUCCACACUGCCAAGAAAAGCCUCUAGCGAGAUGUAAGGUGCCCGUACCGCAAACCGACACAGGUAGGCGAGGAGAGAAUCCUAAGGUGAGCGAGUGAACUCUCGUUAAGGAACUCGGCAAAAUGACCCCGUAACUUCGGGAGAAGGGGUGCUCUUGCGGGUGAAAGCCUGCGAGAGCCGCAGUGAAUAGGCCCAGGCGACUGUUUAGCAAAAACACAGGUCUCUGCAAAGCCGCAAGGCGACGUAUAGGGGCUGACGCCUGCCCGGUGCUGGAAGGUUAAGAGGAGGGCUUAGCGCAAGCGAAGGUCUGAAUUGAAGCCCCAGUAAACGGCGGCCGUAACCAUAACGGUCCUAAGGUAGCGAAAUUCCUUGUCGGGUAAGUUCCGACCCGCACGAAAGGCGCAACGAUCUGGGCACUGUCUCAACGAGAGACUCGGUGAAAUUAUAGUACCUGUGAAGAUGCAGGUUACCCGCGACAGGAAAAGACCCCGUGGAGCUUUACUGCAGCCUGAUAUUGAAUUUUGGCACAGUCUGCACAGGAUAGGCAGGAGCCUUAGAAGCCGGAGCGCCAGCUUCGGUGGAGGCGCUGGUGGGAUACUGCCCUGACUGUGUUGAACUUCUAACCCACACCCGUGAUCCGGGUGGGAGACAGUGUCAGGCGGGCAGUUUGACUGGGGCGGUCGCCUCCUAAAGUGUAACGGAGGCGCCCAAAGGUUCCCUCAGAAUGGUUGGAAAUCAUUCGCAGAGUGUAAAGGCACAAGGGAGCUUGACUGCGAGACCUACAUGUCGAGCAGGGACGAAAGUCGGGCUUAGUGAUCCGGUGGUUCCGCAUGGAAGGGCCAUCGCUCAACGGAUAAAAGCUACCCCGGGGAUAACAGGCUUAUCUCCCCCAAGAGUCCACAUCGACGGGGAGGUUUGGCACCUCGAUGUCGGCUCAUCGCAUCCUGGGGCUGUAGUCGGUCCCAAGGGUUGGGCUUUUCGCCCAUUAAAGCGGUACGCGAGCUGGGUUCAGAACGUCGUGAUACAGUUCGGUCCCUAUCCGUCGCGGGCGCAGGAAAUUUGAGAGGAGCUCCUUAGUACGAGAGGACCGGGAUGGACGCACCGCUGGUGUACCAGUUGUCUCGCCAGAGGCAUCGCUGGGUAGCUACGUGCGGACGGGAUAAGUGCUGAAAGCAUCUAAGCAUGAAGCCCUCCUCAAGAUGAGAUUUCCCAUUACGCAAGUAAGUAAGAUCCCUUGAAGAAGACGAGGUAGAUAGGUUCGGGGUGGAAGUGUGGCGACACAUGGAGCUGACGAAUACUAAUCGAUCGAGGACUUAACAAU